rnacentral:rRNA from 1 species
UCGACUGUUUUACAAAAACAUUUCUUUAAAAGACCUGCCCACUGAAUUUUUAAAGGGCUGCGGUAAUUUGACCGUACUAAGGUAGCAUAAUCAUUAGUUCUUUAAUUGAGGAAUGGAAUGAAUGGUCAAAUGAAUAAAUUUUAUUUUUGUUUUAUUGGUUGAAUUUAUUUAUUAAGUGAAAAAUCUUAAUUUUAUUAAUUGGACGAUAAGACCCUUUAGAGCUUUAUCUUAUUUAUUUAAUGAAAUAUAAAUAUGAUUUAAUUGGGGCAAUUUUAGAAUAAUUUAAUUUCUAUAAAUAGGUAAUUAUGAAUAGAAAUGAUCUUGAAUUUUAACUGUGAAUAAGUUACCUAAGGGAUAACAGCGUAAUUAGUUUGGAGAGUCCUUAUCGAUAAAUUAGAUUGCGACCUCGAUGUUGAAUUAAAAAUUUAAUAAAAUGUAGUAGUUUUCUUUUAAUAGUCUGUUCGACUAUAAAAUUUUUACAUGAUUUGAGUCCAGACCGGA